rnacentral:rRNA from 1 species
UACAGAGGGGGCAAGCGUUGUUCGGAAUUACUGGGCGUAAAGGGCGCGUAGGCGGCCUUCUAAGUCGAACGUGAAAUCCCCGGGCUCAACCCGGGAACUGCGUCCGAUACUGGAAGGCUUGAAUCCGGGAGAGGGAUGUGGAAUUCCAGGUGUAGCGGUGAAAUGCGUAGAGAUCGGAAGGAACACCAGUGGCGAAGGCGGUAGCCUGGCUUUUAACUGACACUGAGGCGCGAAGGCGUGGGGAGCAAACAGG